rnacentral:rRNA from 1 species
GACGAACGCUGGCGGCGUGCUUAACACAUGUAAGCGGAGCGACGAACCAGGGCUUGCCCUGGGGCAGAGCCGCGAACGGGUGAGUAACACGUGGGUAACCUGCCCCGAUGACCGGGACAACCCGAGGAAACUCGGGCUAAUACCGGAUGUGUUCACCUCACAUCAGUGAGAUGAGGAAAGGAAGCUUCGGCCUCCGCAUCGGGAUGGGCCCGCGGCCCAUUAGCUUGUUGGUGGGGUAACGGCCUACCAAGGCGACGAUGGGUAGCUGUUCUGAGAGGAAGAUCAGCCACACUGGGACUGAGACACGGCCCAGACUCCUACGGGAGGCAGCAGUGGGGAAUCUUGCGCAAUGCGCGAAAGCGUGACGCAGCAACGCCGCGUGCGGGAAGACGGCCUUCGGGUUGUAAACCGCUUUCAGUUGGGACGAAGCUUCGCCGGUGAAUAGCCGGCCGGAGUGACGGUACCUUCAGAAGAAGCCCCGGCUAACUACGUGCCAGCCGCCGCGGUAAGAC